rnacentral:rRNA from 1 species
UACGUAGGGUGCGAGCGUUGUCCGGAAUUCUUGGGCGUAAAGAGCUUGUAGGCGGUUUGUCGCGUCUGCUGUGAAAAUCCGGGGCUCAACCCCGGACUUGCAGUGGGUACGGGCAGACUAGAGUGUGGUAGGGGAGACUGGAAUUCCUGGUGUAGCGGUGAAAUGCGCAGAUAUCAGGAGGAACACCGAUGGCGAAGGCAGGUCUCUGGGCCACUACUGACGCUGAGAAGCGAAAGCAUGGGGAGCGAACAGG